ACAAUCACAUUGGGGGGCUCUGGAACCAAGUGUGGGGAGUUCGAUUCCUGGUUGGAGCAGCCAAGUGAUGUAAUAACCAGAGGAAGGGUUGGAGCAGUUUGGUGAUGUAAUAACCAUGGAGGAGGGUCCCUUUGGGGAAAGAGUAAAAGCCAUGUGGGAAUUUGGGAACAACAAGGCACAACCUGCGAUUUACCUCCACUAGUCACUGAGGGGCCGGGGGCUAGAGGUCCAGGAUUUAG
rnacentral:lncRNA from 1 species